UAGUGUAAAUGGUUAACGUGCUUGGCUGCUAACCAAAAGGUUGGCAGUUCAAGUCUGCC
rnacentral:tRNA from 1 species